rnacentral:rRNA from 1 species
UACGUAGGGGGCAAGCGUUGUCCGGAUUUAUUGGGCGUAAAGAGCGUGUAGGCGGCUUGGUAGGUCUGCUGUGAAAACUCGGGGCUCAACCCCGAGACGUCGGUGGAAACCACCUGGCUAGAGUCCGGAAGAGGAGAGUGGAAUUCCUGGUGUAGCGGUGAAAUGCGCAGAUAUCAGGAAGAACACCAGUGGCGAAGGCGGCUCACUGGCCCGGUACUGACGCUGAGGUGCGAAAGCGUGGGGAGCAAACAGG